CCAAGGAGUCUAACAUGUGCGCGAGUCACUCGGUCUUGUUUAGGCCAGAGAGGCGCAAUGAAAGUAAAUUUGCUAAGUUACGAUCCGUAUGCCUGGUCAUUCCUUCAGUGGGUGACGGUACGGCGCAGUAACAGCCCGCCAAUUCCGUUUAUCAACGGUAUGGCGGAGUUGUAGCGUACACGUUGGUACCCGAAAGAUGGUGAACUAUGCUUGGGCAAGACGAAGCCAGAGGAAACUCUGGUGGAGGUCUGUAGCGAUUCUGACGUGCAAAUCGAUCGUCAGACCUGAGUAUAGGGGCGAAAGACUAAUCGAACCAUC
rnacentral:rRNA from 1 species